rnacentral:misc_RNA from 1 species
GUGAAUCAUCGAAUUUUUGAACGCAAAUUGCACCCUUUUCGGAGAGUAUGGCUGUUUGAGGGUCAGCCUAUAAAAAAUCGUCAUCGUUGCUGUUUCACGGUGAGGUUCGUCGGCAAUUGGGUCAUCUUAAAUCUUUUGGGUUUAAGCGACUUGGAAUUUUCUUUUUGAUUAACUGAAAGUCUUGCUACGAUUUAUUUCUUUCCACGUUUAAGGUAUCGAUUUUUAUUAGACGUGACCAUCAUAUAGGCUCGCGUA